CCCUUAGAUGUUCUGGGCCGCACGCGCGCUACACUGAUGCAUUCAACGAGCCUAUCCUUGACCGACAGGUCCGGGUAAUCUUUGAAUCUGCAUCGUGACGGGGAUAGAUUAUUGCAAUUAUUAAUCUUCAACGAGGAAUGCCUAGUAGACGCAAGUCAUCAGCUUGCAUUGAUUACGUCCCUGCCCUUUGUACACACCGCCCGUCGCUCCUACCGAUUGAAUGAUCCGAUGAAUAUCAUGGAUUGAGGAUGCAAGUAGGUUAGCCUAUCUUCAUCUUCGAGAAGUGAAGUAAAUCUUAUCAUUUAGAGGAAGGAGAAGUCGUAACA
rnacentral:rRNA from 1 species